rnacentral:rRNA from 1 species
ACGGAGGAUCCAAGCGUUAUCCGGAAUUACUGGGCGUAAAGAGUUGCGUAGGUGGCAUGGUAAGUUGGUAGUGAAAGCGUUCGGCUCAACCGAAUACACAUUACUAAAACUGCCAAGCUAGAGGACAAGAGAGGUCACUGGAAUUCCUAGUGUAGGAGUGAAAUCCGUAGAUAUUAGGAGGAACACCGAUGGCGUAGGCAGGUGACUGGCUUGUUCCUGACACUAAGGCACGAAAGCGUGGGUAGCAAACGGGA